rnacentral:rRNA from 1 species
GAUGAACGCUAGCGGCAGGCUUAAUACAUGCAAGUCGUGGGGCAGCAUGGUGUAGCAAUACACUGAUGGCGACCGGCAAACGGGUGCGGAACACGUACACAACCUUCCUUUAAGCGGGGAAUAGCCCAGAGAAAUUUGGAUUAAUACCCCAUAGUAUAUUGAUUAGGCAUCUUAUUAAUAUUAAAGAUUUAUCACUUAAAGAUGGGUGUGCGGCUGAUUAGAUAGUUGGCGGGGUAACGGCCCACCAAGCCUACGAUCAGUAGCUGAUGUGAGAGCAUGAUCAGCCACACGGGCACUGAGACACGGGCCCGACUCCUACGGGAGGCAGCAGUAAGGAAUAUUGGUCAAUGGGCGAAAGCUUGAACCAGCCAUGCCGCGUGAAGGAUUAAGGUCCUCUGGAUUGUAAACUUCUUUUAUCUGGGACGAAAAAAGGGAAUUCUUUCUCACUUGACGGUACCAGAUGAAUAAGCACCGGCUAACUCCGUGCCAGCCGCCGCGGUAAUAC